rnacentral:rRNA from 1 species
UGGGGAAUCUUGCGCAAUGCGCGAAAGCGUGACGCAGCAACGCCGCGUGGGGGAAGAAGGCCUUCGGGUUGUAAACCCCUUUCAGGAGGGACGAAGCCUCGGCCGUUAAUAGCGGAUCGGGGUGACGGUACCUCCAGAAGAAGCCCCGGCUAACUACGUGCCAGCAUCCGCGGUAAUACGUAGGGGGCAAUCGUUGUCCGGAAUCAUUGGGCGUAAAGCGCGUGUAGGCGGUCCGGUAAGUCGGCUGUGAAAGUCCAGGGCUCAACCCUGGGAUGCCGGUAGAUAAUGCCGGACUAGAGUUCGGAAGAGGCGAGUGGAAUUCCCGGUGUAGCGGUGAAAUGCGCAGAUAUCGGGAGGAACACCAAUGGCGAAGGCAGGUCGCUGGGACGUUACUGACGCUGAGACGCGAAAGCGUGGGGAGCAAACAGG